rnacentral:miRNA from 1 species
UAUGAAAAGUUACAAAAUGGUCAU